GAGGGUAUAGCUCAGUGGUAGAGUGCCCGCUUAGCAUGCGUGAGGUCCUGGGUCCAAUUCCCAGCAUCUCCA
rnacentral:tRNA from 1 species